GAAUGGCAUCACGAGGGUUAUACUGUCUCCUUUUUCUAAUCAGUGAAACUAAUCUUCCCGUGAAGAAGCGGGAAUGAGAUUAUAAGACGAGAAGACCCUAUGGAGCUUUAAACAAAAUAACAAUUGCUUAUUUAUUAUCAAAUUCCAGAAGUUUAAGUAUUAUUCUAGCACUAUGAUUAUCAGUUUUAGGUUGGGGUGACCGCGGAGUAAAAAUUAACCUCCACAUUGAAAGGAUAUUUUCCUUAGCAAAAAGCUACAACUUUAUGCAUCAAUAAAUUGACAUUAAUUGACCCAAUAUUUUGAUCAACGAACCAAGUUACCCUAGGGAUAACAGCGCAAUCCACUUCAAGAGCUCCUAUCGACAAGUGG
rnacentral:rRNA from 1 species